rnacentral:rRNA from 1 species
ACACGUAGGGGGCGAGCGUUAUCCGGAUUCAUUGGGCGUAAAGCGCGCGCAGGCGGCGCGCCAAGCGGGACCUCUAAUCUGGGGGCUCAACCCCCAGCCGGGUCCCGAACUGGCGCGCUCGUGUCCGGUAGGGGAGGUCGGAAUUCCCGGUGUAGCGGUGGAAUGCGCAGAUAUCGGGAGGAACACCGAUGGCGAAGGCAGACCUCUGGGCCGCGACAGACGCUGAGGCGCGAAAGCUAGGGGAGCGAACAGGAUUAGAUACCCUGUUAGUCCUAGCCGUAAACGAUGAUAGCUAGGUGUGGGGGGACCGCCCCUCCGUGCCGCAGCCAACGCAUUAAGCUAUCCGCCUGGGGAGUACGGCCGCAAGGCUAAAACUCAAAUGAAUUGACGGGG